rnacentral:rRNA from 1 species
AUGAAGCGCCGUACCCAGGAGGUGCACGUCGCCGGCCGCACCGCGCACGCCACCGUGACCUCGCACCCCGCCGUCGCGCGCCGGUGGGUACACACGACGCGGUGGCGCAACGGCGGCCGUCUCCGCUCCAGCGCCGGGCUCAUCGUCGGCAUGGGCGUCCAGUGGACCCCGCCCUUCCGCCGCCUGCCCGACGGCGCCGAGCCGCGGCCGGCCACGCUGCAGCUCUGCUGCGGGCGCCGGUGCCUCGUGUUCCAGAUCGGGAAGGCCGGCGCCGGCAGCGUCCCUCUGAUCCUCCAGCGUUUCCUGGAGGACGCCCGCGUGGAUUUCUUCGGGUACAACGUCCUGUCCGACUGCCGCAAGCUGAGCGCCCACUACGGCCUGCGGGUGGCGUGCCCGCGAGAGCUGCGCCUGGUGACGGGCAUGGGGAACGCAUCGAUGGAGAGCAUGGCGGAGCAGCUCCUCGGGUGGCGCGGGGUGAAGAAAUCGCAGCGGGUGGGCGUCAGCAACUGGGACGUCAGCACGCUGUCGAAGAGGCAGGUGAGGUACGCGGCCAGCGACGCCUUGGUCUCGUACUGCCUCGGCGCCAAGUGUUUGAAGUAA